AAAAAAUCAACCUCAGAGGAAUAAAUCACAGCCCAGAGGGGAAUUCUUAAGCAAAGGGCACAGCCCCUGUGCCACCCGCAGGGGACAAUCCUGGGAUGGCCCCUGUGUCCCUGUGUCCCUGUGUCCCUGUGUCCCUGUGUCCCUGGGGGGGGGGGGGGGGGGGGGGGGGGGGGGGGGGGGGGGGGGGGGGGGGGGGGGGGGGGGGGGGGGGGGGGGGUGCCAUGUCCCCUGUGUCCUUGUGUCCCUGCAGGGACACUCCUGGCAUGUCCCCUGUGUCCCUGUGUCCCUGCAGGGACACUCCUGGCAUGUCCCCUGUGUCCCUGUGUCCCUGCAGGGACACUCCUGGCAUGUCCCCUGUGUCCCUGUGUCCCUGCAGGGACACUCCUGGCAUGUCCCCUGUGUCCCUGUGUCCCUGCAGGGACACUCCUGGCAUGUCCCCUGUGUCCCUGUGUCCCUGCAGGGACACUCCUGGCAUGUCCCCUGUGUCCCUGUGUCCCUGCAGGGACACUCCUGGCAUGUCCCCUGUGUCCCUGUGUCCCUGCAGGGACACUCCUGGCAUGUCCCCUGUGUCCCUGUGUCCCUGCAGGGACACUCCUGGCAUGUCCCCUGUGUCCCUGUGUCCCUGCAGGGACACUCCUGGCAUGUCCCCUGUGUCCCUGUGUCCCUGCAGGGACACUCCUGGCAUGUCCCCUGUGUCCCUGUGUCCCUGCAGGGACACUCCUGGCAUGUCCCCUGUGUCCCUGUGUCCCUGCAGGGACACUCCUGGCAUGUCCCCUGUGUCCCUGUGUCCCUGCAGGGACACUCCUGGCAUGUCCCCUGUGUCCCUGUGUCCCUGCAGGGACACUCCUGGCAUGUCCCCUGUGUCCCUGUGUCCCUGCAGGGACACUCCUGGCAUGUCCCCUGUGUCCCUGUGUCCCUGCAGGGACACUCCUGGCAUGUCCCCUGUGUCCCUGUGUCCCUGCAGGGACACUCCUGGCAUGUCCCCUGUGUCCCUGUGUCCCUGCAGGGACACUCCUGGCAUGUCCCCUGUGUCCCUGUGUCCCUGCAGGGACACUCCUGGCAUGUCCCCUGUGUCCCUGUGUCCCUGCAGGGACACUCCUGGCAUGUCCCCUGUGUCCCUGUGUCCCUGCAGGGACACUCCUGGCAUGUCCCCUGUGUCCCUGUGUCCCUGCAGGGACACUCCUGGCAUGUCCCCUGUGUCCCUGUGUCCCUGCAGGGACACUCCUGGCAUGUCCCCUGUGUCCCUGUGUCCCUGGCAGGGGACACUCCUGGCAUGUCCCCUGUGUCCCCGUGUCCCCGCAGAGCCCCGUUAUCUCCCCGGGCAGGACGUUCUGUUGAUUUGCUCCUGGAGCUGCCUCUGAGAACUUCCCUUCAUCCUUUGCCUGCUUUGAACCCCUUCCAGUGCCCCGCUGCAGCCAAAAUGACAUUUAGGAAGCAAACUGGGACAGAACCCCGAGGUUCUGUGGAAGGGCAGAGAGAGAAAUU
rnacentral:lncRNA from 1 species